AGCAUUUAGCAAACCAGAAAACAAGGGACCUGACAAAUGACAACUUUUGACUUCAGGUGGCACUAUACCGUUUUCCACAAAUUCAACAAAUUCAGAAAAGGUUCCUCACCUAACUCCUUCCAAAGUAUGACAUAGGCAAUCAAUUGGUGGGACAGUUGGAGUUUUCAAUUCACCAUAAGUCUGCCAGCAGAAAGGAUUGUAUAGAUGGUAUUGUUCUUGAAUUGGUUUUAACUCAACAGAGGUUAGAGAAACAUCUACACAAGGUUCUUUUGUCGCAGUAGAAUUGAUCAAUCACAAUUGGGAGUUCAACUUCAGAAACUUGUAUGUUUGAGAAUAGCACUCCUUGUACAGAACCUGAUCCACCCUGCAGAUAUACAUGUUAACUUUAAUGUUGGAGACACAGGCUCUGGUGUUAUCCUUUCCUAGACUUCCAAUGCUGAUUCCAUGCCCUGGUCCACAGUUGACAUUGUGUACAUAUAUGUUCGAGCAUCCAGUUUGUAUCGAAAUACAGUCAUCUCCUGCAAAAUAAUUGAAAUUUAAAUAUAUUGAGCCAACUUGGACCAUUUAUGUCAGUUGUGCCAUUUUCAUCCAGCCUAAGGUGCGAAGGACUCGAGAAAUGUGGGGCAGAAGUUAUAACUUCUAAUGAGACAAGAUUGAUGGCGAGAAAUACAAAAUCAAAAGCUCUUGUUUAUGGAACUAACAGAGUACUAUUCAAUUGGGUGAUGCAGUGUGGAUUUUACGGUUGACACGUGCCAUGUAGCAUAUGACUUGCAGGCAUUGGAAGGUACUUUUGUUGAUAUGUGUCCAACAUGGUUGUGGAUAAGAUAAGAUAAUGCCAUGCCAUUUUGAGAAUCAUAGAAAAUGCAUAGAACUUUGUUUUUUAGUUUUCUUCUUGUCUUGAACUUUCAUUUUCAUUUUAGCUAAUGUCUCUAUCUCCUACAUUGCCCUA